rnacentral:rRNA from 1 species
UCUACGGGUGGCUGCAGUGAGGAAUAUUGGUCAAUGGACGAGAGUCUGAACCAGCCAAGUAGCGUGAAGGAUGACUGCCCUAUGGGUUGUAAACUUCUUUUAUAUGGGAAUAAAAUGUUCCACGUGUGGGAUUUUGUAUGUACCAUAUGAAUAAGGAUCGGCUAACACCGUGCCAGCAGCCGAGGUAAUACGGAGGAUCCGAGCAUUAUCCGGAUUUAUUGGGUUUACAGGGAGCGUAGGUGGAAUGUUAAGUCAGUUGUGAAAGUUUGCGGCUCAACCGUAAAAGUGCAGUUGAAACUGGCAGUCGUGAGUACAGUAGAGGUGUGCGGAAUUCGUGGUGUAGCGGUGAAAUGCUUAGAUAGCACGAAGAACUCCGAUUGCGAAGGCAGUUCACUGGACUGCAACUGACACUGAGGCUCGAAAGUGUGGGUAUCAAACAGGAUUAGAUACCCCUGUAGUC